AUUGAACGCUGGCGGCAGGCCUAACACAUGCAAGUCGAGCGGAUGAAGGGAGCUUUCUCCUGGAUUCAGCGGCGGACGGGUGAGUAAUGCCUAGGAAUCUGCCUGGUAGUGGGGUAUAACGUCCGGAAACGGGCGCUACUACCGCAUACGUCCUGCGCGUGCAAGUGGGGGAUCUUCGGACCUCACGCUAUCAGAUGAGCCUAGGUCGGAUUAGCUAGUUGGUGGGGUAAAGGCCUACCAAGGCGACGAUCCGUAACUGGUCUGAGAGGAUGAUCAGUCACACGGGAAGGGAGACAGGGACAAGACUCCUAAGGGAGGCAGCAGUGGGGAAUAUUGGACAAAGGGCGAAAGCAUGAUCCAGCCAUGCCGCGUGUGUGAAGAAGGUCUUCGGAUUGUAAAGCACUUUAAGUUGGGAGGAAGGGCAGUAAGUUAAGACCUUGCUGUUUUGACGGUAACAACAGAAGAAGCACCGGCUAACUUCGUG
rnacentral:rRNA from 1 species